GGGGGGGGGGGGGGGGGUGGGUAGUGGGUGCGGGUGGGGGGGAGGGACGGGGGGCUUGCUGGUCGGAUGUUGGCGGCGGCCGGGUGAGUCACCCGUGGAUAACCUCCCUAUGCGACUUGGAUAACUUCCGGCAACCGUCGCUCAUACCGGAUCAUAUUUUGAACCGCAUGGUUCACAAUUGAACGACUUUCUUGCUUUCACUUGUCGAUGGAUCCGGCCUUCAUUAGCUAGUUGGUAAGGUAACGGCUUACCAAGGCAACGAUUCAUAUCCGACCUGACAGGGUGAUCGGCCACACUGGAACUGAGACACGGUCCAGACUCCUACGGGAGGCAGCAGUAGGGAAUCUUCCGAAAUGGGCGAAAGCCUGACGGAGCAACGCCGCGUGAGUGAUGAAGGUCUUCGGAUCGUAAAACUCUGUUAUUAGGGAAGAACAUAUGUGUAAGUAACUGUGCACAUCUUGACGGUACCUAAUCAGAAAGCCACGGCUAACUACGUG
rnacentral:rRNA from 1 species